CCUACGGGAGGCAGCAGUGGGGAAUAUUGCACAAUGGGGGGAACCCUGAUGCAGCGACGCCGCGUGGGUGAAGAAGUACUUCGGUAUGUAAAGCUCUAUCAGCAGGGAAGAAAAUGACGGUACCUGAGUAAGAAGCCCCGGCUAACUACGUGCCAGCAGCCGCGGUAAUACGUAGGGGGCAAGCGUUAUCCGGAUUUACUGGGUGUAAAGGGAGCGUAGACGGCGGUGCAAGUCUGGAGUGAAAGGCGGGGGCUCAACCCCCGGACUGCUUUGGAAACUGUAAGGCUGGAGUGCCGGAGAGGCAAGUGGAAUUCCUAGUGUAGCGGUGAAAUGCGUAGAUAUUAGGAGGAACACCAGUGGCGAAGGCGGCUUACUGGACUGUAACUGACGUUGAGGCUCGAAAGCGUGGGGAGCAAACAGGAUUAGAUACCCGUGUAGUC
rnacentral:rRNA from 1 species